rnacentral:rRNA from 1 species
GACGAACGCUGGCGGCGUGCUUAACACAUGCAAGUCGAACGGAAAGGCCUGCUUUCCCUUGUGGAUUGCGGGUACUCGAGUGGCGAACGGGUGAGUAACACGUGAGUGAUCUGCCCCCAACUUGGGUAUAAGCCUGGGAAACUGGGUCUAAUUCCCGAUAGGACUGCAGGGUGGUGCCUGUGGUGGAAAACGAUUUUCUAGUGGUUGGGGAUGAGCUCGCGGCCUAUCAGCUUGUUGGUGGGGUAAUGGCCUACCAAGGCGGCGACGGUAGCCGGCCUGAGAGGGUGGACGGCCACAUUGGGACUGAGAUACGGCCCAGACUCCUACGGGAGGCAGCAGUGGGGAAUAUUGCACAAUGGGCGGAAGCCUGAUGCAGCGACGCCGCGUGGGGGAUGACGGCCUUCGGGUUGUAAACUCCUUUCGACCGCGAGGAAGCCACCUGGCUGGAAGGGUGGUGACGGUAGUGGUAGAAGAAGCACCGGCUAACUACGUG